rnacentral:rRNA from 1 species
AUUGAACGCUGGCGGCAGGCCUAACACAUGCAAGUCGAACGAGUGGCGGACGGGUGUGUAAUGUCUGGGAAACUGCCCGCUGGCGGGGGAUAAUUACUGGAAACGGUAGCUAAUACCGCAUACCAUCGGAUGUGCCCAGAGGGGCUUUGCAACGAGGUGGGGUAACGGCCCACCUAGGCGACGAUCCCUAGCUGGUCUGAGAGGAUGGCCAGCCACGCUGGAACUGAGACACGGUCCGGACUCCUACGGGAGGCAGCAGUGGGGAAUAUUGCACAAUGGACGCAAGCCUGAUGCAGCCAUGCCGCGUGUAUGAAGAAGGCCUUCGGGUUGUAAAGUACUUUCAGCGAGGAGGCGUUACUCGCAGAAGAAGCAUCGGCUAACUCCGUGCCAGCAGCCGCGGUAAUUC